CGGGCCGCGCCUCGUAUGUGGCUAGCGAAUACACGAGGGACGAAGACGCGGGCGCGCGCGCUGCGGCCGUGUGGCUUCAAGCGAUAUUCGACACUAUCGCCAAAAGCAUAUAGCACAUUUUACCGCACCCACGGACCAAUAACAUAAUAGGUUGCGAGCGAUCUUCGACAUUAUUGCUAAAAACAUAUAGCACAUUUUACCACACCCACGGACCAAGAACAUAAUAGGUUGCGAGCGAUCUUCGACAUUAUUGCUAAAACAUAUAGCGCAUUUUACCACACUCAUGGACCAAGAACAUAAUAGGCUGCGAGCGAUCUUCGACACUAAUGGCAAAGGCAUAUAGCACAUUUUACCACACUCAUGGACCAAGAACAUAAUAGGUUGCGAGCGAUCUUCGACAUUAUUGCUAAAAGCAUAUAGCACAUUUUGCCACACUCAUGGACCAAGAACAUAAUAGGUUGCGAGCGAUCUUCGACACUAUCAAAAGCAUAUAGCACAUUUUACCGCACCCACGGAACAAUAACAUAAUAGGUUGCGAGCGAUCUUCGACAUUAUUGCCAAAAGCAUAUAGCACAUUUUACCACACCCACGGACCAAUAACAUAAUAGGUUGCGAGCGAUCUUCGACACUAUCGCUAAAAGCAUAUAGCACAUUUUACCACGCCCACGGAACAAUAAUAUAAUAUGCUGAUGGUCUGUAACAUGACUAGCUUUUUUUUUCGUGGAAUACUCUUGUAAAUGAAAAUGUUUAUAAAAAGACUAUUUUAAAAUACUCAGUAUUUCAUGCAAAACGCGAAAAUGAAAAUUUUUGUCUCGAACUUGCGAUAAUGAUGGGUUACCUAUACAAUUUACUCGUUUUUAUCGUCACAGGGCCAGCUAGUAGUUAAGCUUGCGUUAAUAUUUUGUUUCAUUAAAGCAUUUAUAAAAUAUUAGUUAUUAAGUUAAAAUAAUAAUCAGGAAUUUAACAA